GGACACCUCGGGGGUUUCCUGCUUUAUGGCGAAGGGCCAGGGCCCCACACCUUCCGCCUGACAGCCAGCCAAGCUCUUCAGUCCCCCGCCCUCCACCUGCCAGGGAGGCUCCGGGCGUUGUACCUGCCACCACGGGGUAGGUCUGGUGAGUCGAGAGGUUGCGCCCCAGUGGCGUGUUGGAAGGGGUCAGGGUGGCCUUCCCGUCGUCCAGGGUGCUGUUGAGCAAGGGCAGCGGGUAGAGGCCCUGGGGAGCAAAGAGAAGUCAGCGCACAGAGACGAUCCAACAAGCCGACCUUCCUGCAGACCCUGAGCCUGUGUCUUAGGACUUGGCAGCCCUCAUCUCCCCAGGAGAGGUCCUCAUCGCCCCCUUCUUCCUUUACGUUCUCAACUCCACUCGGCACGUUUCGUUCAUGCUCAUUGUCCUCCCGCAUCCCUGGAAUUCAAGGCCAGCUGGUAGCAUGGGUGCCCAGACGUGGGAUAGAGAGUCUCAGCCAGAGGACCACACCCUGGUUGGAUGGCUGGUCGGCUUCCUGGUUUCACCACACUGUUGGGACCCACAGAAUGCAGGACGGUGCCAAGGACUGGAGCAGUCUCCAACCGGACUGUUCAGGGUCCUUGCAUCUGUUAAUUUAUUCUUCCCCAGAUAGGAAACCCAGGCACAAAGGUUUAAGAAACUUGUCCCACUUCCAGAUGGGCCAAAGAUAGGAUUCAGAUUCGAGGGAUCAGAAUGUGUCUGCUCUCAACCACUGCCCUAAACUGGGUGACAUAAGGACCACUUCUUACAUUUGCAAAGAGCUUAUAUCAGAGCUUUGCCUCUGUUGUCCUAGUAGAGUCCCCCAGCAGCCCAGUGACAUGGGUGAGUAAUAUUAUGUCUGUGUUUUAUAUGUGGAGCCUGGAACUCAGGUAAAUGGCCCAAUUUUGUAUAGUGAAACAGACUAAACCCGGGAUUUUUCGGCUGUGGACCCAGGUGCUUUACCCACCACGUGGAUUUCUUCUUUUCUCUCUCCACAUCCAAACAAAUAGAAGUGUGCAAGUUCGGCUUGAAAAUGGUAUUGAGAGUUGUUUUUGUUGGAAACACUCUUUGUCAAGUACCUGGGGGUCUUCAUCAGUAAGACCUCAUUUUAGAUGCCUCCUGGCCUCCCCUUCCCAGGAGCACAGCUAUGACCUUAGGUACUCCUUCCGAAAAGAACUUGUUUAACUAAAGGUAAGUGUACCUCAUCCUCACCAUGGCCUCCUUCCACUGGGGAAGCAGAUAGCGCAGAAAAAAGAACACACCCAUUCCCCACAUACCUUCACACUCGUCACAUACCUGCUACGUGAGAUGUGCAAAGCUGAAUUCAGGGAAUGCUCAGUAGUUACAUAACAGUGCCACUAAAGGCAAUUGUUUUCAGUGAUUUCCAUCGAGCUGGGUUCUGCAAAGAUCCACAGCACUUUCCGGUUGCAUGCUGGGCACUUUUGGAAGCUGCAGUCAAUUCUGGAGGCCACCAGGGCACCAUUAGCACAUAGCAGCAAUUAUUGACUAAAUGGUGCUCUGGUUCCAUGCCUUCCAAGGGGGCCC
ensembl:lncRNA PAX8-AS1 PAX8 antisense RNA 1